AAUUUGAAAAAGGAAUGCGCCCGUUUUUCGCCGUAAAUGUUGCAGCCUAAUUUUGGAUCGAGAAUUAAGUGCGACGAAGAUGGCCGUUAAUAAUAGUUCUACUACUUUAAGAACACGGUUCAGAUUUGGAUAACGACUUCGAAGGCAUUCGCAGGAGACCAAACAGAGAAAGAGAGGGAGACACAAAACCACCUGUCUCGGUGUCACACAUGAGGAGUUGAGGAGGAGAUGAAGUCAGUGAAUAUGACCUGGCCUGGGGGAGUUUCCAGAAGAAGGCCCAGAAUCGCUGGAUGCCAGGAGUGGAGAUCCUUCGUUGCUGCCCUACAUGAUAGGAGGCAUCGGGCAGUAGAUGCUGUAAUUUGAAACGGAAGGUGUCCUGCCAAUAAAUUUUCAUCCCACCUGAACUGCCUUGCCUGCCUGCACCCAGUCAUCUGUUCCUGAGCAUUUUCAUUUUCCUCUAUUUUUCAUCAUCGUUUGUUUCGGCCUGUAUGAAGUGAAUUUCACAUUGAUUGGUGGAGCUGCUAAGUUGGCAUUACAGGGCCACGCCGGGGUAUGAUCCUUUGGGUUGAACAUCAUGACUGCUAGUUGGUCGGCAAAGGUGAUGGGAUCGAUCAAUGUCACAUGGAGUAAGAUCGAUACCAAUCUGCUUUGCUACAUUUCGAACAAUCUCAUACGGAUACGGAUAUUAUUGCGACAGGAGUACUGCUCGAUGUGGUCAAGCCUAUUUGACAAAGCAUUAUGGUGUUAGUCAUGUUAUCAGAAACCGAUUUUUCAAAAUCACGGAGUUGCUUCAAUUUAGUAUCGAUAGAUAUUUCAAGAACGUGUAGACUAGUGAGCUUUUCAUCAAGAAUUUCACGCAAUUUAUUUUCGCGCUUAUCCAUGUCAUCAUUGAGUUUUUGUCUCUCGCGUUCCAUUGCCACGGCCACCGCUCUUUGAACGACUGUAUCAAUAUGAUCUAGGUAUGCUGGGCUUUGUUUAGAUCCAGUUAAUGAUGAAGCAGAGGAUUGUGUACAUGCGUUAGCCGAGUGCAAGCGGCCUCUUGAUCUGGUGGAUAUCUUAGACAUGUUAGAGAUUACGUAAUGAUAUAAUUGAAAAGUGGGAUGGGCUGUGCAUCUGCCAACUCACCAGUCAACCAAUUAGAGACGGCCUUCCAAAGUGACACAGCACGAAAAUAUCAAUAUGGGACUGGUCUAGUCAACACAUAGAUCCUGAAAAAACCAUGGAGACCGCAGACGCAAAAUGACUUCCAUACAUAAAGAUAUGAUGCACAAUUUCCAGUGGGUUCAAAACACUGAACACAUGCUAUGCUGAUACACAGACUAUCAUAUUAAAGAACUUUAUCAAGCAAAGGAAAUCUGGUAUGAAAUCUCUCAGCUCACAUAAAAAGCCUACGUAGCUACAUGUAGGGAAGAAAAUGCGUAAUUGCUGAGAAAUGAGCAAAAUAAGCAUGUAAUUCUAUCAAAUGUCAGGUAUUUUUCGAAUCGAUUAUAAUACACUGUCCCACAUAUGCUUUUCUGUGUUUACAGCGAUCAUCAGAAUUAUCGAUUUUAAGUUAAAAAAUUCAUGAUUUUACAAAGAUACAAGUUUACAUUAAUGUACUAGAUGUAGAUUAUGUACAAUAUAUUGACAAUGAACUUUGAUUUUAUAGAUUUUCUCAAGAAAUAAUUGUUUGCUGCAACUACUGUCUUUUCCUUCUAAGUGAUAGUGUAAUACAACAGUUCCACAAACUAUUUUCAUCAGACUUAUUGAUGCAUGAUUCUUUCACCCAAAUGCAAGCUUCCAUAAAUCCUGAAAACUUUGCAACUCAGGUGUUUUUUUUUUUUACAUACAGUAUAUUUUGUCCUACAUUGCAUAGUUGCCUUAAGUUAAUAGCGCACCUCUAGUAGUAACUAUCUUAAAAUGAGUUCGAACAGAAUCCAACAGAAUUACCAGCAAAGUGUAUGUAUAUAUAAAAGAUGUGUGCCAAAAAGCUCGGGAAGAAAAUGUGUAAUUGCUGAGAAAUGAGCAAAAUAAGCAUGUAAUUCUAUCAAAUGUCGGGUAUUUUUCAAAUCAAUCAUAAUACACUGUCCUGUCCCACAUAUGCUUUUCUGUGUUAGUGAUCAUCAGAAUUAUUGAUUUUAAGAUCAAAAUUCAUGAUUUUACAAAGAUACAAGUUUACAUUAAUUUACCAGGGCCCCGUCUUACAAAGAGUUAUGAUUGAUCUGAUCAAUCGCAACUAUGGACGGUCAGCAACGUUAACAUCUAUUAAGCAUGUUUGUUCAAAAUAUUUUCUAGCUAUGAUGUAUGUUCAUGCAUUCAUUGUUUUCUCAAAAAUUCGCUGCGCUUCUCUUUGCAUACAAAGGACAUUGUGCAAAUUUUUCGUAGAAAAAAUUAUGACACUGAUGGAUUUCCAUAGAGUUAUGAUUGAUCGGAUCAAUCGUAACUCUUUGUAAGACAGGGCCCAGAUCUAGAUUAUGUACAAUAUUUUGACAAUUAACCUUAAUUUAAAAGACUUUCCGAAGAAAUAAUUGUUUGCUGCAACUACUGUCUUUUACCCCUGGCCCUAAGUGAUAGUGUAAUACAACCCAAACAUUUCAUAAGAAUUAAUGUACAUGUAUGAUUCUUUCACCCAAAUGCGAGCUUCCAUAAAUCCUGAAACUAUUCCAACUCGGGUAUUUUUUUUUUACAUACAGUAUAUUUUUACCUACAUUACAUAGUUGUCUAAAGUUGAAGGUAUAUUUAAUUACAAUUUCAACGAAAAAGCUUUAUUCUUGGAGAUCAUUAUGCCUCUGUUAUGUAUUAAUGUGUAUUUAUACAUGUACAAUUGUAUGUAUUGGUAUAACAAACAUUGUAAUUUCAUUCCUUUGACCCUAAUACUGCAUUUUCAUAGAAAAGAGUUUUUUUUUUCAAUCUAUUUAGAGUUUUCAACAUUUUGUAUUCCUUUUUUUUUUGCUGGUAAUAUGUUAUGCAACUUUUAUUUAUUAAUAGAAUAUUUGCCACGAUUUCGUAAUUG